CAAGUCGAACGGAAAGGCCCUGCUUUUGUGGGGUGCUCGAGUGGCGAACGGGUGAGUAACACGUGAGUAACCUGCCCUUGACUUUGGGAUAACUUCAGGAAACUGGGGCUAAUACCGGAUAGGAGCUCCUGCUGCAUGGUGGGGGUUGGAAAGUUUCGGCGGUUGGGGAUGGACUCGCGGCUUAUCAGCUUGUUGGUGGGGUAGUGGCUUACCAAGGCUUUGACGGGUAGCCGGCCUGAGAGGGUGACCGGCCACAUUGGGACUGAGAUACGGCCCAGACUCCUACGGGAGGCAGCAGUGGGGAAUAUUGCACAAUGGGCGGAAGCCUGAUGCAGCAACGCCGCGUGCGGGAUGACGGCCUUCGGGUUGUAAACCGCUUUCGCCUGUGACGAAGCGUGAGUGACGGUAAUGGGUAAAGAAGCACCGGCUAACUACGUGCCAGCAGCCGCGGUGAUACGUAGGGUGCGAGCGUUGUCCGGAUUUAUUGGGCGUAAAGGGCUCGUAGGUGGUUGAUCGCGUCCGAAGUGUAAUCUUGGGCUUAACCCUGAGCGUGCUUUCGAUACCGGUUGACUUGAGGAANGUAGGGGAGAAUGGAAUUCCUGGUGGAGCGGUGGAAUGCGCAAAUAUCAGGAGGAACACCAGUGGCGAAAGCGGUUCUCUGGGCCUUUUCUGACCCU
rnacentral:rRNA from 1 species